rnacentral:rRNA from 1 species
GAUGAACGCUGGCGGCGUGCCUAAUACAUGCAAGUCGAGCGAACAGACGAGGAGCUUGCUCCUCUGACGUUAGCGGCGGACGGGUGAGUAACACGUGGAUAACCUACCUAUAAUACUGGGAUAACUUCGGGAAACCGGAGCUAAUACCGGAUAAUAUAUUGAACCGCAUGGUUCAAUAGUGAAAGACGGUUUUGCUGUCACUUAUAGAUGGAUCCGCGCCGCAUUAGCUAGUUGGUAAGGUAACGGCUUACCAAGGCAACGAUGCGUAGCCGACCUGAGAGGGUGAUCGGCCACACUGGAACUGAGACACGGUCCAGACUCCUACGGGAGGCAGCAGUAGGGAAUCUUCCGCAAUGGGCGAAAGCCUGACGGAGCAACGCCGCGUGAGUGAUGAAGGUCCUCGGAUCGUAAAACUCUGUUAUUAGGGAAGAACAAAUGUGUAAGUAACUAUGCACGUCUUGACGGUACCUAAUCAGAAAGCCACGGCUAACUACGUG